rnacentral:misc_RNA from 1 species
AGGAACCGGAUGCGGGAAAACCACGCACGUCCGGGUCUGUGCGGGGGCGUCCGGUAACGGGCAUUCCUAUCGCGAG